GUGUCAGCAGCCGCGGUAAUACAGAGGUCUCAACCGUUGUUCGGAUUCAUUGGGCGUAAAGGGUGCGUAGGCGGUCGCGUAAGUCAGGUGUGAAAUCUCAGGGCUCAACCCUGAAACUGCACUUGAUACUGCGUGGCUCGGGUACUGGAGAGGAGACUGGAAUUUACGGUGUAGCAGUGAAAUGCGUAGAUAUCGUAAGGAAGACCAGUGGCGAAGGCGAGUCUCUGGACAGUUACCGACGCUGAGGCACGAAGGUCAGGGGAGCAAACGGGAUUAGAUACCCCCGUAGUCC
rnacentral:rRNA from 1 species